GAUGAAGAACGUAGUGAAAUGCGAUAAGUAAUGUGAAUUGCAGAAUUCAGUGAAUCAUCGAAUCUUUGAACGCACCUUGCGCUCCUUGGUAUUCCGAGGAGCAUGCCUGUUUGAGUGUCAUUAAUAUAUCAACCUCUUCAGCUUAUGCUUGUUGAGUGUUGGAUGGUGGGGGUUUGCUGGUGUCUUAUGAAGUCAGCUCCUCUGAAAUGCAUUAGCGGAACAAUUUGUUGACCGUUCAUUGGUGUGAUAAAAAUAUCUACGCUAUUGACGUCAGUCAGUUCAGCUUCUAACAGUCCAUUGACUUGGACAAAUUUUUCAUUAAUGUGACCUCAAAUCAGGUAGGACUACCCGCUGAACUUAAGCAUAUCAAUAAGCGGAGGA
rnacentral:misc_RNA from 1 species